rnacentral:rRNA from 1 species
CUAACACAUGCAAGUCGAACGAGAGGCCGUAGCAAUACGGUCGUACAGUGGCGAACGGGUGAGGAAGACGUGGGUAACCUACCCUCGAGUGGGGAAUAACCCGCCGAAAGGCGGGCUAAUACCGCGUACGCUUCUGUUCCUUCGGGGACGGAAGGAAAGCUGUGCCGUGGGCAUGGCGCUCAAGGAUGGGCUCACGCCCUAUCAGCUUGUUGGUAGGGUAACGGCCUACCAAGGCAACGACGGGUAGCUGGUCUGAGAGGACGAUCAGCCACACUGGCACUGCGACACGGGCCAGACUCCUACGGGAGGCAGCAGUGAGGAAUAUUGCGCAAUGGGCGAAAGCCUGACGCAGCGACGCCGCGUGGGGGAUGAAGGUCUUCGGAUUGUAAACCCCUUUCGGGAGGGAAGAUGGAACGGGCAACCGUUCGGACGGUACCUCCAGAAGAAGCCAACGGCUAACUUCAGUGCCAGCAGCCGCGGUAAUACGAAGGUGGCAAGCGUGUUCCGGAUUUACU